AUGCAGCCUGUUCAGAUGUGUUGAGGACACCAGCGAGUGCAACCUUUCCAGAUCUCGAUAAGACAGAAGCAUUGCCGGAAUGUCAACCUUUGACCUCUCGCUCUCUUCCUCCUUUGCUGCAGACAUUAUGCAGUUCGUCACAAAAGGAGAGUGCAGAGUGUCCUGAUGUAUUGAAGACACAAGAGAGUGCAGCCUGUUCAAAUGUGUUAAAGACACAUGAGGAUGCAGCCUGUUCAGAUGUGUUGAGGACACCAGCGAGUGCAACCUUUCCAGAUCUCGAUAAGACAGAAGCAUUGCCGGAAUGUCAACCUGUGACCUCUCGUUCUCUUCCUCCUUUGCUGCAGACAUUAUGCACUUCGUCACAAAAGGACGGAACGUCGGACAAGAACGCUGCUGGGGAUGGAUUUUACCAAGGACAUGUAACUGGAUCGACUUCUUCUGCCCACCUGCUUGAGGCCCAUAGUGAAUUACAGCAAAUGCUACACCGAAGAACACAGGAGAGGGAUGCCCUUCUUAGGGAGUGCAAGAAAUUGAAAACAGAAAACAAGUCAUUAAAGAAGCAAGUCCCAGCUUCAUACGAAAGGGCCGUAACAGAUAUGAAAAAAGGACUUGAGAAGUGUUUCACAGACACACAAAUAAAUGCGCUGUUGAGUAACAAACAAGUUGCAAAUUAUAGUCAUACAGAUAUAUCUGAAGCAAUAACAUUACAUAGCUACAGUUCAAAAGCCUACAAUUAUCUCAGGGAAAAGAAACAACUUCCUCUUCCAUCAGUGACGACUCUCAAUCGCCGUGUAUCAAUGCUGGAUAUUGAACCCGGUGUGUUG